AUAUUCUGCCCUAUGAAUAACUUAAAUGGCUGCAGUAUUUUAACUGUACGAAGGUAGCAUAAUAAUUAGUUUUUUAAUUGAGGACUGGAAUGAAAGAUUAAAUGAGAGAUUUAUUUUAUUAUUUAUAUUUUUUUAAUUUUAUUUUUGAGUAAAAAAGCUUAAUUAUUUUAUUGGGACGAAAAGACCCUAUAGAACUUUAUUUAGAAUUUAGUAACUAAUUUUAAUUAAUUAAUUAUUUAAUUAUUUUUAAUUAAGUUGGGGUGAUUAAUAAAUUAUAACUUUAUUUUUUUGAUUCAUUAAUUAGUGAUUUUUUUUUGAAUAAUUUUUUAUUAAUAUAAGAUUAAGUUACCUUAGGGAUAACAGCGUAAUUUUUAUGGUGAGUUCUUAUCUAUAUAAAGGUUUGCGACCUCGAUGUUGAAUUAAGAUAAGUUUUUGGAGAAGUAUUUUUUUUACUAAGUCUGUUCGACUUUUAAAUUCUU
rnacentral:rRNA from 1 species